AGUUAGUGGCGGACGGGUGAGUAACGCGUGGGUAACCUGCCUUGUACUGGGGGACAACAGUUGGAAACGACUGCUAAUACCGCAUAAGCGCACAGCUUCGCAUGAAGCAGUGUGAAAAACUCCGGUGGUACAAGAUGGACCCGCGUCUGAUUAGCUGGUUGGUGAGGUAACGGCCCACCAAGGCGACGAUCAGUAGCCGGCCUGAGAGGGUGAACGGCCACAUUGGGACUGAGACACGGCCCAAACUCCUACGGGAGGCACAUG
rnacentral:rRNA from 1 species